UAUUAAUAAUUGGACCUCUGAGCAGGUGU
rnacentral:piRNA from 1 species